UAAGGAAUAUUGGUCAAUGGACGCAAGUCUGAACCAGCCAUGCCGCGUGAAGGAUGAAGGUCCUCUGGAUUGUAAACUUCUUUUAUCUGGGACGAAAACGGGAUUUUUAUCUCAAUUGACGGUACCAGAGGAAUAAGCACCGGCUAACUCCGUGCCAGCAGCCGCGGUAAUACGGAGGGUGCGAGCGUUAUCCGGAUUUACUGGGUUUAAAGGGUGCGUAGGUGGGCUUAUAAGUCAGUGGUGAAAUCUCCGAGCUUAACUUGGAAACUGCCGUUGAUACUAUAGGUCUUGAACUAUCUGGAGGUAAGCGGAAUAUGUCAUGUAGCGGUGAAAUGCUUAGAUAUGACAUAGCACACCAAUUGCGAAGGCAGCUUACUACAUAUAAAUUGACGCUGAGGCACGAAAGCGUGGGGAUCAAACA
rnacentral:rRNA from 1 species